UCUUUACAGAGUGUGUCCUGCCUGUGAUGACGUAUGACGCUGAAACGUGGACACUGAUAGUUGGCCUUGUCCACUAGUUCAAAGUCGCUCAGUGUGCUAUGGAGCGGGAUAUGUUGGGUGUCUCUCUGAGGGACCAAAUCAGUAAGAGCGGUUGU